rnacentral:rRNA from 1 species
AGUGAACGCUGGCGGUAGGCCUAACACAUGCAAGUCGAACGGCAGCACAGUAAGAGCUUGCUCUUACGGGUGGCGAGUGGCGGACGGGUGAGGAAUACAUCGGAAUCUACUUUUUCGUGGGGGAUAACGUAGGGAAACUUACGCUAAUACCGCAUACGACCUACGGGUGAAAGCAGGGGAUCUUCGGACCUUGCGCGAUUGGAUGAGCCGAUGUCGGAUUAGCUAGUUGGCGGGGUAAAGGCCCACCAAGGCGACGAUCCGUAGCUGGUCUGAGAGGAUGAUCAGCCACACUGGAACUGAGACACGGUCCAGACUCCUACGGGAGGCAGCAGUGGGGAAUAUUGGACAAUGGUCGCAAGCCUGAUCCAGCCAUACCACGUGGGUGAAGAAGGCCUUCGGGUUGUAAAGCCCUUUUGUUGGGAAAGAAAAGCAGCAGGUUAAUACCCCGCUGUUCUGACGGUACCCAAAGAAUAAGCACCGGCUAACUUCGUG